AUUUUUACCCUACCAUCUAUCUGAACUAAUCCUCCACGGUGUUUGCAGUUCGGUAGAAUCCUUCACUAAUGGAACAGUAUCAAGGAAUAUUUUCACGAUAUGCGAAUUUUUAUAGUUUAUUCGGUUAUGAUUACGGAAUCAACAGCAAAUUUUCGCGUUGGGUUCUACCACGAAAUUUAGCUUUGAUCGCAAUGAUAGUCUUAUUGAUCUUUCUAUCAAAUUAUCUCGACCUAAGUGAUAUAAAUGGGGAAAGCAACUAUGUGACUCAAGUUAUAUUUUAUUUAGCUACGUAUGUGAUCUUUUUAGGAGAAUCUUGGUGGAAUCGUCAUAAAUUCAGUGAAAUUUGGCAUAUUUUUGAAAGAAUUCACUCCCGAACAAGAGCUCUGAUUCAUAGCGACAUUUUAGUUCAGGCGUUAAAGGUUUUCUCAAAACGCUAUGUACGGACAGUAUCGAUUCUUGCAUCGCAAAUUACGUUUUUGUCUCUCGUUUGCCUCUGUGGAAUGUAUUUUUUGGCUCCAUACAAUUUGCUUAUUAUUUGGCGAGUACAGCUCUGUAUAGUGCAACAAUUGAUAGAAUUCCGACAGUUUCAAAUUACCUUCUACGUGCAACUUCUUCAUCUGUAUCUGACAGAACUUAAGUUAAUAGUGGAAGUUUUGGCCAGAGAUACUGUUUUACUUAACUGUUCGUUGUUGGAGAAAAGGAAGUUACAUUAUGUGAUGAAUUUGUACCAUGAUUUAUAUAGUUUAUCUGAAUAUUUGAAUGCACAAUUCGGCAUAUCUAUGUUGUUGAUUAUCGUUCGAUGGAAUUUUCAGUUAUUGGUUGAUUCCUUCUGGUUGGCACAAGCAGUGGCAAAACACGAGGGAUGGAUUCUAAUUUUUCAGGUAAUGCCAAUUUUCAGCCAUCUUGUGUCUUUACUUGUAUUCGUGAGAUCAUGCGAACAAUUGAGUCAUACCGAUAAAAUAAUUCAAGCUAAAUUUGAAAAAUUAAGUUCUCCGAAAUAUUUGGAAGAUGAUUAUAUGAAUGAGUUGACACAUUGCUUUAUUUUACAAACGAAACAUGGUAGCAUAAAUAUUACUGGUAUGGACUGUAUCGUUGUGAACUACUAUUCAAUAGCUUCAGCGGUUGUCUCUAUAUUCACAUAUUUGGCCGUUUACAUCGAGCUGGAAAGAAACAAGCAACGGAUGCAUUCAUAAAUCUGUGACAUACACUGGAUCAACAUUACUACGAGAAUUAUAAUUGCUGUUAUCAUCAGAAAUUGAAAUUUUAAGUACGUUAUCGCAAUGUAAGAAGCACCUCAAUAAAACAGAUUACUAUCCAUUACUAUGUUUAUUAUACUACAAUACUACCAUCGAAAAUUUGAAUGUUAUCAUAUACUCAGCUCGGCUUUCGUGAAAAAAUGAACUAAUAUUAUCCUUGUACUGCUUUCAACUGAUAUUCAAAUGGCAAAAACGGUAUCUGUAUUUUAGGAAAUAAAAGAAGGUGUCGAUUCAGUUUCUAUUGAUGUUCUUUUUGCUAAGCUCCACCAACAUCGUUUGUUCGGUGCACUACACUGGUCAAUGCUCACGGUGUAUUCAGAGCAUCUUUUCUUAUACUAUUCUGAUGUAGCCUGAAAAACGAAAACGCUAAAAGAAACAAAAAAUAUGAUUCUUUGUUUACAUUUAUUCUUCAGGCGGUUGUCUCUAUAUUCACAUAUUUGGCCGUUUACAUCGAGCUGGAAAGAAACAAGCAACGGAUGCAUUCAUAAAUCUGUGACAUACACUGGAUCAACAUUACUACGAGAAUUAUAAUUGCUGUUAUCAUCAGAAAUUGAAAUUUUAAUUCAGCUAAUCCCCUUCAUCAGCCAUCUUGUGUCGUUACUUGUAUUCGUAAGAUCGUGCGAACAGCUGACUCAUACCGAUAAAUUAAUUCACGCCAAGUUUGAAAAGCUGAGUUCCUCUUGGUGUCUUGAGGAUGAAUAUAUGAAUCAGCUGACACAUUCUUUCAUUCUACAAACGAAACAUACCAGAAUAAUUAUUACUGCCAUGGACUGUGUUAUCGUGAACUACUAUUCAAUAGUUUCAGUAGCUGUCUCUAUACUAACAUAUUUUGCGCUUUACAUAGAAGUGGAAAAGAAAUGGCAACGGUUGUAUGGAGAGAUCGAUGCCUAGUGACCUUUGGGCAUAAACUGAAUGAAUAUUACCAUGUAGACUGUUAUUGCUGUUACCAUCUGAAAUCAUCAAUAACAUAUUGUUGUUUUUUUUGCACACUGCGCUUUAAAAUAAAAAUAUAAAAAUAAUAUGUCAAUACUUGUGUUUGAAGUAGUUUGCACCUUGUUUUUCUAUCACACGUAACAGGUGAACCUGUGAAACUUGAACUAGUUUGCAAAUGAUUAUUGGGUAAAUAUUUUCAUACAAUUUUAUUAUUAAAUUCAAAAAAAAG